rnacentral:rRNA from 1 species
UACGUAGGGUCCGAGCGUUGUCCGGAAUUAUUGGGCGUAAAGGGCUCGUAGGCGGCCAACUAAGUCAUACGUGAAAUCCCUCAGCUUAACUGGGGAACUGCGUGUGAUACUGGAUGGCUUGGAUUUGGGAGAGGGAUGCGGAAUUCCAGGUGUAGCGGUGAAAUGCGUAGAUAUCUGGAGGAACACCGGUGGCGAAGGCGGCAUCCUGGACCGGUAUUGACGCUGAGGCGCGAAAGCCAGGGGAGCAAACGGG